rnacentral:rRNA from 1 species
CCCACGGGAGGCAGCAGUGGGGAAUAUUGCACAAUGGGGGAAACCCUGAUGCAGCGACGCCGCGUGAGUGAAGAAGUAAUUCGUUAUGUAAAGCUCUAUCAGCAGGGAAGAAAAUGACGGUACCUGAGUAAGAAGCCCCGGCUAACUACGUGCCAGCAGCCGCGGUAAUACGUAGGGGGCAAGCGUUAUCCGGAUUUACUGGAUGUAAAGGGAGCGUAGACGGCGGUGCAAGUCUGGAGUGAAAGGCGGGGGCUCAACCCCCGGACUGCUCUGGAAACUGUACGGCUGGAGUGCAGGAGAGGGAAGUGGAAUUCCUAGUGUAGCGGUGAAAGGCGUAGAUAUUAGGAGGAACACCAGUGGCGAAGGCGGCUUACUGGACUGUAACUGACGUUGAGGCUCGAAAGCGUGGGGAGCAAACAGGAUUAGAUACCCGGGUAGUC